rnacentral:tRNA from 1 species
GGGGUCUUAGCUCAGCUGGGAGAGCACCUGCCUUGCACGCAGGGGGUCAGGGGUUCGAUCCCCCUAGGCUCCACCA